UCUUCCGUAGUAUAGUGGUCAGUAUAUGAGCUUGUCAAUUUCUCCACUCUAAAAAGUGGGAUUAACAACGCUCGGGACCCGGGUUCAAUUCCCGGCGGGAGAG